rnacentral:lncRNA from 1 species
GCCGUUUGGAUUGAUCACUUGGUCGCGGAGAAAUCCUGCUAUCGUCUCUUGGAUAGCUUUGAUUCGGUCUUGUUGUAGGACCUUAUCCCUCAGCCAUUCCGUCUUUAAUUUGAAAUAAAUAAAAAAGGUAUUAGUUAUCUAAGUUAUUCAAUAUAAUUCAGGAGAUAAUGAAAAGAGACAUGUAACGUACUCUGAGCGUCUCUGUGGGUGUUUGAUUGACUUGUGCCAUCAUGAAUUUGCACACGUAAUAUGCACAUAGAUUGUUCCCCCCUUCUUGUCUUAAACACCACUGUACGAUAUAUAUAUAAAAAUAUUCACGACCACGACAAUAAGAAGGCUAAAUGUUAGCGAAAGUUUGUUAGCUAGUAGAACUUACUUGUGCAUGUAUUAUGUUAAGUGGCGCUUUACAUCCACUGAGAUGUUCACGGUCAAUGAAUCUUUCCCAAACCCUAUACACAGCCAUGCAUUGUGGAUCGUGAACUAAUAAUUACAGAGUCAUAUUAUGAUAUUUUUGUAGCUGAGAUCGACAUUACGUACCUUUGAAUAAUGUUUACCAUUUGUUGAAAAUUUUCUUGUGGUUUUCUCAUUGAGUCAAAGAUUAUUAACCGGUUCUUGGGAAUUUCAAUGACCAUGAGUAUCCAGUGAAAGCUGUUUACACACACAUAUAUAUAGUCAGACCUAUAAUGUAAAAUAAAAUAUGCAUGCACUUAAUAAUUAUAUAACUCACUCGAAGUUAAAGGGGAAGAGUAUUUUUUGUUUUUCUUUUUGGUUCACAAAGAACCUCAUAAGAUUGGUGCAGACUUCUGUCUCAUGAUCUGCUGUCCACACUGCCUGCGGAGCCUAGAAAACAAUAUAAGGGUCAACGAACCCAAUACUAUUGUCAUUUCUCAUUCUGAGCUCUCUCAUUUGGUGCCUGCAUAUAUACAUACAAAUCCUAAGUGUGUAAGGAUUAUAUACAUGUAAUUAAAGAAGUU